rnacentral:rRNA from 1 species
UCCCUCGUCCACAAGAGCAGCGGAAGGAGGAGCAGAGCUGCGGUUUGGAAUAGGUCCUCGAUCGGGCACGAGCUGACGUAACCGGACUCAGCGACAGGACGGGACGGAGCGACGGCAGUGGAGCGGCAACUCGAGGGGCACUGCGCAGGCAGGAGACGAGGCAAAACCGUACAGCCGGCUCGAGAGUUCUCGCAGGCGCUCGGGAGGGGAGCCGGAUAUAUUCCUGGGGGGCUCCACAAGGCGUCGAGGGUUCGGAGAGGGGCAAGGAGUAAACGGGGGCCUCAGGGGAUUAGAGCGGCCUCAACCGGCAGCAGGUGGUACCGGCGGAGCCGGAGCCGAACUAAGGCCGGUUUAGCUCGGAGGAGAGGAGGAGGAUGGUGCAGGUGGCCCAGGGGGAGCAAGGUGAGUCGGCGGGGUGGGGGAACGGGAGAGCGGCCUCAGCGGACAAAGCGGUCUUGUGGUGGAGCCGACGGCGGGGACCGGAGGAGACCGCGGCGGAGAGGGCAGGUGGAGUGAGGAGGGGCCGCCGGCACAGAGGGGAUUUGCCUCCGCGGAGCCAGGGAGCGUGGGCGGCCACCGGAGCCGAGCCGGCCUCUACCGGACUCGAUCGGCCGGGGAACCGGUAAAGGGAGGGGACGGAGACGAGACAGAGUGCCCUCUUGUCCGCUCGCUCUCCUUCCUCUGCUGGCUCGGACCGGGGAGGGGGACGCCGAUCUGGGGUGGAUUUUGCAUUAGGCGGGCUUCCGCGAUAGGUAAAAGUCGGCGGUCCCUGGACAAACACUCCUAAAAAUAGUGUCUAAUCAGGGAUUAGAAGAUGUGGAGUAUUGAAGCGCUGGCAUUGAGGCUAACUCGGGGAGGCUUUCUCUUGGCAGGCCGCAAAGCAAGGCGCCGAAGUGGCGUGAAAAAGGGCCCCAGAGGCAGUAGGCUCCUUUAGUUAUAGUUUGCCUCAGGUUUACGGUACUUUGAGGUGCUACUAAAAAAUACCCGGUCUUCCUUCCGUUACCCGGAACCAACGUGGACCCCCCACCCGCAAGGGACCACCCAACACGGGUGGAGUCCACGGGGAGCCUGGCGGAGAAACGUGAUAUUUAUGUUGUUAUAAAGUCUUUGGGAUCUUGUUCGCAGCUUUAUAAGUAGGUCGGCGGCGUCUCGGCUCUUGGUGGUCUAGGUUGGAUCUGUGGUAGUGCCUCCCCAAGUGGUUAAGGUAACCACGGAGAAGCUACUACGCACUCAUCAUGAAACAUCUGGAAGCCCAGGCAUCAAUCAUCGAUCUACCGAAAGAGAGAGAGAGCGACUUAAGAGUUAUGUUACCAGAGAACCUCUAGGUAUACUACAUUGAGAAAACGCCACACAAACAAACCUAGACUACUUGAAGCUCAAAUACUAGUCAGUAUAGAAAAAUAUAGGUACUUUCAAUAAACUCAAAGAAACUAGAGAAUAUACGUACUAGAGAAUAUCGGAGCAUAAAGAAGAGGCUAUAAACCCAGAACAAACCGGUUGAACUAGAUAAAUAGACAUUGCAGG